CAAGAUAAACAAAUGGUUAAUUGUAAUCAAAAACCAAUUUCUCGUCAACCUUGUGUUAAAAUCAAAUUGGUAUUGUCUAAGGUGCUGUUGAAUAAUUGGAGAUCAAAUAUUGCAGAUCCUGAAUAUUGUUUGCUCCCACUCACAGUAUCUCUUCAUAAGUAUUUGUUCUUCCACUCUAUCAGUUGAACCCACACCGAAAGCUAUAGGUUUACCAUUGCUACAGAAAGAUGAAUUUGUUUCUACAUUUUCUGUCUAUAGCAGGUUUGCUUGUGCAAAAUUCUUUGAUACCACUAGUAAUAAUCAAUUACAGAAAAACAAUGGUUCUACACUGUGGUUUCAAGGCAGGCUUAUGGCUUUUAUAAUUAAAUGAAAUAUUUAACACAAAUUGGAAAGAAAGAUUGAAAUCUAUUCUUCACAGAUGUUCUAUGACAUCGAUAAAUUUUAUAAAAAAAAUUCAGAUGUAAAACAAAACAUCUUAAAUUUCAAUUAUUUAGAAAAUAGACAUAAACACUUCUACCAUUAGCCAAGCCCUUGCAAGUCUGAGUUCACUAACUCUAGCUAACUCUGUUGAAACGGCAGUCAUAUUUGUUUUGGUCAUAUUUUGGUAGCAAAAGUGAGGUUGUAAUAAACUUUGAGUUUAGCUUAUAGCAGACUAGUAGGUAACCCGUGCUUCGCAAGGGUCUAUUUUAAAACUUUGCGAAAUGAAAACUUGAUGUAAUAAAAAAUUCGAAAUUUGAAAAUAGGCCUGUAACCAUCCUCGGUUAAUGAA